UCCCUGCUGGCUCAGAUGGUAAAGAAUCUGCCUGCAAUGCAGGAGACCCAGGUUCAAUCCCUGGGUUGGGAA
rnacentral:tRNA from 1 species